ACGAACGCUGGCGGCGUGCUUAACACAUGCCAGUCGAACGGAAAGGCCCUGCUUUUGUGGGGUGCUCGAGUGGCGAACGGGUGAGUAACACGUGAGUAACCUGCCCUUGACUUUGGGAUAACUUCAGGAAACUGGGGCUAAUACCGGAUAGAAGCUCCUGCUGCAUGGUGGGGGUUGGAAAGUUUCGGCGGUUGGGGAUGGACUCGCGGCUUAUCAGCUUGUUGGUGGGGUAGUGGCUUACCAAGGCUUUGACGGGUAGCCGGCCUGAGAGGGUGACCGGCCACAUUGGGACUGAGAUACGGCCCAGACUCCUACGGGAGGCAGCAGUGGGGAAUAUUGCACAAUGGGCGGAAGCCUGAUGCAGCAACGCCGCGUGCGGGAUGACGGCCUUCGGGUUGUAAACCGCUUUCGCCUGUGACGAAGCGUGAGUGACGGUAAUGGGUAAAGAAGCACCGGCUAACUACGUG
rnacentral:rRNA from 1 species